GCUGUUUUUCAAAAACAGAGGAAAGUCCGGGCAACAAAGGGCACUGUUCUUUCUAACGGAAAGAUUCUCGCAAGGGAAUAGAAGCAUAACAGAAAAUAACCGCCAUUCAUGGUAAGGGUGAAAAGGUAGGGUAAGAGCCUACCGGUGGAUGUAGCGAUAUAUCCAGCCGUAUGCCUAACAGGUUGCAAGACCGCAUAUACCGGCGUUCGAGGGCUGCCCGUCCGAGCCGAGGGGUAGGUUGCGCAGAACUGAGCAGGCAACUGCCAGUCCAGAUAAAUGAUAGAGGCCCUCCAAAGGGUACAGAACCCGGCUUACACUUU
rnacentral:RNase_P_RNA from 1 species